rnacentral:rRNA from 1 species
GGGUUGUGAGGUUAAGCGACUAAGCGUACACGGUGGAUGCCCUGGCAGUCAGAGGCGAUGAAGGACGUGCUAAUCUGCGAAAAGCGUCGGUAAGGUGAUAUGAACCGUUAUAACCGGCGAUGUCCGAAUGGGGAAACCCAGUGUGAUUCGUCACACUAUCGUUAACUGAAUACAUAGGUUAACGAGGCGAACCGGGGGAACUGAAACAUCUAAGUACCCCGAGGAAAAGAAAUCAACCGAGAUUCCCCCAGUAGCGGCGAGCGAACGGGGAGCAGCCCAGAGUCUGAAUCAGCUUGUGUGUUAGUGGAACGGUCUGGAAAGUCCGACGGUACAGGGUGAUAGUCCCGUACACCAAAAUGCACAGGCUGUGAACUCGAAGAGUAGGGCGGGACACGUGGUAUCCUGUCUGAAUAUGGGGGGACCAUCCUCCAAGGCUAAAUACUCCUGACUGACCGAUAGUGAACCAGUACCGUGAGGGAAAGGCGAAAAGAACCCCGGCGAGGGGAGUGAAAAAGAACCUGAAACCGUGUACGUACAAGCAGUGGGAGCACCUUCGGGUGUGACUGCGUACCUUUUGUAUAAUGGGUCAGCGACUUAUAUUCUGUAGCAAGGUUAACCGUAUAGGGGAGCCGCAGGGAAACCGAGUCUUAACUGGGCGUUAAGUUGCAGGGUAUAGACCCGAAACCCGGUGAUCUAGCCAUGGGCAGGUUGAAGGUUGGGUAACACUAACUGGAGGACCGAACCGACUAAUGUUGAAAAAUUAGCGGAUGACUUGUGGCUGGGGGUGAAAGGCCAAUCAAACCGGGAGAUAGCUGGUUCUCCCCGAAAGCUAUUUAGGUAGCGCCUCGUGAACUCAUCUUCGGGGGUAGAGCACUGUUUCGGCUAGGGGGUCAUCCCGACUUACCAACCCGAUGCAAACUACGAAUACCGAAGAAUGUUAUCACGGGAGACACACGGCGGGUGCUAACGUCCGUCGUGAAGAGGGAAACAACCCAGACCGCCAGCUAAGGUCCCAAAGUCAUGGUUAAGUGGGAAACGAUGUGGGAAGGCACAGACAGCCAGGAUGUUGGCUUAGAAGCAGCCAUCAUUUAAAGAAAGCGUAAUAGCUCACUGGUCGAGUCGGCCUGCGCGGAAGAUGUAACGGGGCUAAACCAUGCACCGAAGCUGCGGCAGCGACACUAUGUGUUGUUGGGUAGGGGAGCGUUCUGUAAGCCUGCGAAGGUGUGCUGUGAGGCAUGCUGGAGGUAUCAGAAGUGCGAAUGCUGACAUAAGUAACGAUAAAGCGGGUGAAAAGCCCGCUCGCCGGAAGACCAAGGGUUCCUGUCCAACGUUAAUCGGGGCAGGGUGAGUCGACCCCUAAGGCGAGGCCGAAAGGCGUAGUCGAUGGGAAACAGGUUAAUAUUCCUGUACUUGGUGUUACUGCGAAGGGGGGACGGAGAAGGCUAUGUUAGCCGGGCGACGGUUGUCCCGGUUUAAGCAUGUAGGCUGGUUAUCCAGGCAAAUCCGGAUAAUCAAGGCUGAGGUGUGAUGACGAGGCACUACGGUGCUGAAGUAACAAAUGCCCUGCUUCCAGGAAAAGCCUCUAAGCAUCAGGUAACAUCAAAUCGUACCCCAAACCGACACAGGUGGUCAGGUAGAGAAUACCAAGGCGCUUGAGAGAACUCGGGUGAAGGAACUAGGCAAAAUGGUGCCGUAACUUCGGGAGAAGGCACGCUGGUGUGUAGGUGAAGCCCCUGCGGGUGGAGCUGAGACCAGUCGAAGAUACCAGCUGGCUGCAACUGUUUAUUAAAAACACAGCACUGUGCAAACACGAAAGUGGACGUAUACGGUGUGACGCCUGCCCGGUGCCGGAAGGUUAAUUGAUGGGGUUAUCCGUAAGGAGAAGCUCUUGAUCGAAGCCCCGGUAAACGGCGGCCGUAACUAUAACGGUCCUAAGGUAGCGAAAUUCCUUGUCGGGUAAGUUCCGACCUGCACGAAUGGCGUAAUGAUGGCCAGGCUGUCUCCACCCGAGACUCAGUGAAAUUGAACUCGCUGUGAAGAUGCAGUGUACCCGCGGCAAGACGGAAAGACCCCGUGAACCUUUACUAUAGCUUGACACUGAACAUUGAGCCUUGAUGUGUAGGAUAGGUGGGAGGCUUUGAAGCGUGGACGCCAGUCUGCGUGGAGCCAACCUUGAAAUACCACCCUUUAAUGUUUGAUGUUCUAACGUUGGCCCCUGACCGGGGUUGCGGACAGUGUCUGGUGGGUAGUUUGACUGGGGCGGUCUCCUCCCAAAGCGUAACGGAGGAGCACGAAGGUUAGCUAAUCCUGGUCGGACAUCAGGAGGUUAGUGCAAUGGCAUAAGCUAGCUUGACUGCGAGCGUGACGGCGCGAGCAGGUGCGAAAGCAGGUCAUAGUGAUCCGGUGGUUCUGAAUGGAAGGGCCAUCGCUCAACGGAUAAAAGGUACUCCGGGGAUAACAGGCUGAUACCGCCCAAGAGUUCAUAUCGACGGCGGUGUUUGGCACCUCGAUGUCGGCUCAUCACAUCCUGGGGCUGAAGUAGGUCCCAAGGGUAUGGCUGUUCGCCAUUUAAAGUGGUACGCGAGCUGGGUUUAGAACGUCGUGAGACAGUUCGGUCCCUAUCUGCCGUGGGCGCUGGAGAAUUGAGGGGGGCUGCUCCUAGUACGAGAGGACCGGAGUGGACGCAUCACUGGUGUUCGGGUUGUCAUGCCAAUGGCACUGCCCGGUAGCUAAAUGCGGAAGAGAUAAGUGCUGAAAGCAUCUAAGCACGAAACUUGCCCCGAGAUGAGUUCUCCCUGAGACUUUAAGUCUCCUGAAGGAACGUUGAAGACGACGACGUUGAUAGGCCGGGUGUGUAAGCGCAGCGAUGCGUUGAGCUAACCGGUACUAAUGAACCGUGAGGCUUAACCUUACAACGCCGAAG